GUAAUGGACCACACCUCUCUCUCUCUACCGGUUAAAAGGUGUGGCGAGAGAGCGAGAGAGAGAGAGAGAGAGAGAGAGAGCGACAGAAGUGGAGGGUGAGAGAGUGAUACGAGGGGAUUUCAUGAAGUCGGAAAAGUCAGUGUUCUUGAACCGAGGCCUACCUAACCCUGCGGGAUCCAGGCCUACGUAACCCUGCAGGAUCCAGGCCUACGUAACCCUGCAGGAUCCAGGUCUACGUAACCCUGCAGGAUCCAGGCCGACGUAACCCUGCAGGAUCCAGGCCUACAUAACACUGCGGGAUCCAGGCCUACGUAACCCUGCAGGAUCCAAGCCUACAUAACCCUGCAGGAUCCAGGCCGACAUAACCCUGCAGGAUCCCGGACGGGACCUUGCGGCGCUGCGAAGAAACAGCAACAGCAACAGCAUGGAGUGCAGAAAGGAGGACGAGGAGGAAGACCCGCCCAGUUCACCUUCGCCGGAUGGUCAGGAAACAGACUCCUCAACU